GGAAAGUUUGAAAUUUUGUAGAUUUGGAAUAGUGAUUUAGAAAUUAGGAUAACAAGAGUUUUUGGUGAUAGAUGAGUAUGCUUUUAGAAUUUUGGAUCAAUAGGUUAUUUUUAAGAAACUGCUAAAUUUGGAAAGUUCUCAUUUUGUAGAAAAAUAAUGUAGAUUUGGGACUGUGAUUUAGAAAUUAGGAUAACAAGACUUUUUGUUGAUAGAAGGUAUGCUUUUAGAAUUUUUGAUCAAUAGGUUUUAAUUUUUAAAUAAAUUUUCCAAAACCUGCUAUUUUUAGAAAGUUAUCAUUUUGUAGGAAAAUAUUGUAAAUUUGGGAUUGUGGUUUGCAAAUUGGGAUAACAAGAGUUUUUGUUGAUAGAUGAGUAUUCUUUUAGAGUGUUGAUCAAUAGGGUAUAAUUUUUAAAUAAAUUUUCCAAAACCUGAUAUUUUUGGAAAGUUAUCAUUUUAUAGAUAAAUAUUGUAGAUUCGUGAUUAUGAUUUAGAAAUAAGGAUAACAAGUGUUUUGUUGAUAGAUGGGUAUGCUUUUAGAGUUUUUGAUCUAUAGGGUAUAAUUUUUAAAUAAAUUUUCCAAAACCUUGUAUUUUUAAAAAGUUGUCAUGUUGUUGAUGAAUAUUGUUGAUUUGGGAUUGUGAUUUAAAAAUUAAGACGAGUAUGCUCUUAGAAUUUUGAUCAAUGGGUUAUAA
rnacentral:lncRNA from 1 species